rnacentral:rRNA from 1 species
GAUGAACGCUAGCUACAGGCUUAACACAUGCAAGUCGAGGGGAAACGACAUCGAAAGCUUGCUUUGAUGGGCGUCGACCGGCGCACGGGUGAGUAACGCGUAUCCAACCUGCCCACCACUUGGGGAUAACCUUGCGAAAGUAAGACUAAUACCCAAUGAUAUCCCACGAAGGCAUCCGAAUGGGAUUAAAGAUUUAUCGGUGAUGGAUGGGGAUGCGUCUGAUUAGCUUGUUGGCGGGGUAACGGCCCACCAAGGCAACGAUCAGUAGGGGUUCUGAGAGGAAGGUCCCCCACAUUGGAACUGAGACACGGUCCAAACUCCUACGGGAGGCAGCAGUGAGGAAUAUUGGUCAAUGGGCGGAAGCCUGAACCAGCCAAGUAGCGUGAGGGAUGACUGCCCUAUGGGUUGUAAACCUCUUUUAUAAGGGAAUAAAAUACGGGACGUGUCCUGUUUUGCAUGUACCUUAUGAAUAAGGACCGGCUAAUUCCGUG